GAUGAACGCUGGCGGCGUGCCUAAUACAUGCAAGUCGAGCGAACGGACGAGAAGCUUGCUUCUCUGAUGUUAGCGGCGGACGGGUGAGUAACACGUGGAUAACCUACCUAUAAGACUGGGAUAACUUCGGGAAACCGGAGCUAAUACCGGAUAAUAUUUUGAACCGCAUGGUUCAAAAGUGAAAGACGGUCUUGCUGUCACUUAUAGAUGGAUCCGCGCUGCAUUAGCUAGUUGGUAAGGUAACGGCUUACCAAGGCAACGAUGCAUAGCCGACCUGAGAGGGUGAUCGGCCACACGGGAACUGAGCCGCGGUCCAGACUCCUGAGGGAGGCAGCAGUCGGGAAUCUUCCGCAAUGGGCGAAAGCCUGACGGAGCAACGCCGCGUGAGUGAUGAAGGUCUUCGGAUCGUAAAGCUCUGUUAUUAGUGAAGAACAUAUGUGUAAGUAACUGUGCACAACUUGACGGUACCUAAUCAGAAAGCCACGGCUAACUACGUG
rnacentral:rRNA from 1 species